UUGAACGCUGACGGCAGGCCUAACACAUGCAAGUCGAGCGGAUGAAGGGAGCUUGCUCCUGGAUUCAGCGGCGGACGGGUGAGUAAUGCCUAGGAAUCUGCCUGGUAGUGGGGGAUAACGUCCGGAAACGGGCGCUAAUACCGCAUACGUCCUGAGGGAGAAAGUGGGGGAUCUUCGGACCUCACGCUAUCAGAUGAGCCUAGGUCGGAUUAGCUAGUUGGUGGGGUAAAGGCCUACCAAGGCGACGAUCCGUAACUGGUCUGAGAGGAUGAUCAGUCACACUGGAACUGAGACACGGUCCAGACUCCUACGGGAGGCAGCAGUGGGGAAUAUUGGACAAUGGGCGAAAGCCUGAUCCAGCCAUGCCGCGUGUGUGAAGAAGGUCUUCGGAUUGUAAAGCACUUUAAGUUGGGAGGAAGGGCAGUAAGUUAAUACCUUGCUGUUUUGACGUUACCAACAGAAUAAGCACCGGCUAACUUCGUG
rnacentral:rRNA from 1 species